rnacentral:rRNA from 1 species
AUUGAACGCUGGCGGAAUGCUUUACACAUGCAAGUCGAACGGCAGCACGGGGCAACCUGGUGGCGAGUGGCGAACGGGUGAGUAAUACAUCGGAACGUGCCCAAUCGUGGGGGAUAACGUAGCGAAAGUUACGCUAAUACCGCAUACGAUCUACGGAUGAAAGCGGGGGAUCGCAAGACCUCGCGCGAAUGGAGCGGCCGAUGUCAGAUUAGGUAGUUGGUGGGGUAAAGGCUCACCAGGCCAACGAUCUGUAGCUGGUCUGAGAGGACGACCAGCCACACUGGAACUGAGACACGAUCCAGACUCCUACGGGAGGCAGCAGUGGGGAAUUUUGGACAAUGGGCGCAAGCCUGAUCCAGCCAUUCCGCGUGCAGGAUGAAGGCCU